ensembl:lncRNA
CAACAUACUUAGGGGAUAUUUUUAAGGUUACAAAGGCUGCCUCAGUGUUGAAGAAACAAAAAAUGCUGUUAAUACCAUCUGUAAAACCUUUAUUUUUCUCCUAUGCUUUUGAAAUAUGAAUUGUUUAAGGAUGCAUCUACACCAGCAUUGACAUUCAGAUCAGUGAACUACGAAAUAGAAGACUGGAUAUCACAGGUGAGGUCUUCAGUUGCUGUGAAUCUAAAACCAGCUGUGUUGGCUCGAUGGUGAUUUUCAUCAGCAGAGACGUGUGCCUGCAGCUUUCCCUAGUGAACCAGGGUCCAAUUUGGAGAAAUGGAAAGCAAGAUACCUUUGGGAUCUUGGGCUACUGGAAGAUUAUGAACCCCUCCACUGGUGUGUUUAUUUCUGAUCAGCAAUGAGUCUGAAAUGAUCUCCAUAAAGAUCCAGAUCCCUGUGAGAGAGACGGAGAAACUGCAGCAUGGUACAAGCUACUAUUUUGCUAAAGGUGAAGCACUGGGACCUGGAGGUAUUGAGUUGCCCAGGGUCACGUGGGUUGUGGCAAAGUUAAGGUGCAGAGAUGUCUCAAUGUCUUUUACCUUUGUGGAGCAACAUCUUCCUUCUUACGUUGGUGUUGUGACAUAGCGGAGUGCUAGACAGCCCAACUGAAGAUCCAAAAUGACUCGACCGGAACCUUUUUGGGGAAGCAAUAUAUCUGGAGAGUAUACCUUGCCUAAAUUGUCUGCAGAGCUAGUGAAGAAGCGCCCUCCAGGAUGUCCCAGAAGCAGGAAGCUCCUGUCACUGUGUGCAGCCUCAGUUUGCUACCCAAAAGCAGUAUCUCUUCAUUAGCUGUGAAUGAGCCUCCCCUCUUCAUGUACCUGCUUUAUUCUCCUACCUCUUCCAGAGCACCUGAGAAGAGAGGAUUACAGAUCCUGGGGCCCAGAUUUACUCCUGACAGAGACCAGCUGAAGAAAACAUUGUCAAAUGCAAGCAGGGAUGAACUCGCACUGUCUCUGAUACAAAUGUUCACAGGAGGAUGUUGCAAGGAUGGUCUUAGCUCAGCACUCAACCUGGGAGUGACAAGGGAAAAUGUGGGGGGUUACAGGAGCAAUUGGGUGGCGAUGUUGAUAGGGACAUGGCAAGUUACCUUUUGCUCAAAUUCUUGUUGAUCCAGUUCCAGAGACAAUUCUUACUCAAUUUCUAUUUCAGAAAAGCUCAUCCGUGAACUAAGGAGCUUGUAUACACGUGUUUAUCUCGUUAUUGCCUUGCCAGUGGAAUAGACUCUUUCUGUCAUUGACCCCAUUGGAAGACAUUCCUUGGUGUGGUUGGUGGGAUGAACUUCCAUAAGCAUUCUCUUGCUUGCAGCUCUCAAUUCAAACCAAAAAGCCUCUAGUGGAAAAAGUUGAACGUGACUGGGUGUGCUCCAGCUGACGUGGGCUGGGGGCUGUUCACACUGGCAACAGAGUUGGCAAACUGAUGAGAGAUGAGCGAAUAACAUCCAAUCCCAGAGCUGUGUGAAGCUGCUUGGGGCGAGGGGUUGGCUGGAGGAAGGCAUAUGAUUAAGUGUGAUAUUAAAGCUGAAUGGAAGUGAAGGGUCUGACUGCUGAUUCCACAGAAGCACUGAAGAAAGAGUGAAUUCUCUAUAAGAUUUCCUGAGAGGUUUUUUGUUCCCCAGCAGGAAGGCUGCAGGACAUCUCAGUUAAAGGCUGGCCUAUCUGCAGAGACCAUGUGUGAUGGCUUUCCCAGAGCCAACGUCUGUUUCCCCCCCCAACUCCCCAGUAGCUUCCUGCCAGAGCUCCUUGCCUCCAAGGAUGUUGGCUUGGCAGGUUGCCUUGGUUCUCCCUGGAUCAUGGGAUCACUGGGUGAGUCAAUUUGGAAAGGUCUUCAGGAGGUCUCUGUCCAGCCUCCUGCUUCACACAUGAGCUCAUGCAGGGUUUCUCAGGGCUGUACUUGGGUUGUUGGAUAUUUACAUGUAUUAUAGCAGUAGAGACUGCUGCUCCUGUGGUCUGUUGUUUGAUUUGUGCUCUCUGGUUCCUUGGUUGGCCAAAGCCAAAGAUGGCUGACUGUCAAAUGCAGCAUCUUCUAGAUUGCUCAGGUAGGAGAAGCUGUGUUACCAAACUAAGCUGCCCCCAAGUUUCACGUUCAUUCUCCCCAGCAUGAGCUGUUUUGCAUCUUUCUCCCUCCUCCUUUCCCCUCUAACAAAGCUUUCUGUUUCUGUCUUACUGUCUUUGUG